rnacentral:rRNA from 1 species
AGUAAUAGUAGACCCGAAACCGUAGUGAUCUAUCCAUGGCCAGGUUGAAGCACAGGUAAAAUUGUGUGGAGGACCGAACUCGUGAGCGUUGAAAAGCUUUGGGAUGAGUUGUGGAUAGGGGUGAAAUGCCAAUCGAACACGGAGAUAGCUGGUUCUCCCCGAAAUAGCUUUAGGGCUAGCCUCGAGGUUGAGAGUAUAGGCGGUAGAGCACUGAUCGGGCUAGGGGCCAUACCGGUUACCGAACCUAGUCAAACUACGAAUGGCUAUACUUAUACUCGGGAGUCAGACAGUGAAUGAUAAGGUCCAUUGUCAAGAGGGAAACAGCCCAGAACACCGACUAAGGUCCCCAAUGUCAUACUAAGUGGCGAAGGAUGUGGAAUUUCCAAAACAACCAGGAUGUUGGCUUAGAAGCAGCCACCAUUUAAAGAGUGCGUAAUAGCUCACUGGUCGAGAGACUCUGCGCCGAAAAUGUCCGGGGCUAAAGUAUGAAACCGAAGUCGUGUCAUAUGCAGCAAUGUAUAUGGGUAGGGGAGCGUUCUCAUCGGAUUGAAGCAGUACCGUAAGGAGUUGUGGACUGGUGAGAAGUGAGAAUGUCGGUAUGAGUAGCGAAAAGAAUGGUGAGAAUCCAUUCCACCGAAAGCCUAAGGGUUCCUGAGCAACGAUCGUCGUCUCAGGGUAAGUCGGGACCUAAGCCGAGGCGGAAAAGCGUAGGCGAUGGACAACAGGUUGAAAUUCCUGUACCGGUGUGAAUCGUUUGAUCGAUGGAGUGACACAGUAAGGUAGGUCAGCACGCGAUUGGAAGAGCGUGUUUAAGCAGGUAGGUUGAGCUAUAGGCAAAUCCGUAGCUCUAAAAGCUGAGAUGUGAUGACGAGCGACUAGCAAUAGUCGCGAAGUGAUUGAUCCUACACUGUCGAGAAAAGCUUCUAGGUAGAGACACAUCGCCCGUACCAAAACCGACACAGGUAGGCGGGGAGAGAAUCCUAAGGUGCGCGGGAAAACCCUCGUUAAGGAACUCGGCAAAAUGUACCCGUAACUUCGGGAUAAGGGUAGCCACUGUUGUGAAGUCCCAUGCGGAUGGAGCAUAGAGUGGUCGCAGAGAAGAGGCCCAAGCGACUGUUUACCAUAAACACAGGUGCCUGCUAAAGCGAAAGCUGACGUAUAGGUGCUGACACCUGCCCAGUGCCGGAAGGUUAAGGAAGGAUGUUCGGAGUAAUCCAAAGCAUUCGACUGAAGCCCCGGUGAACGGCGGCCGUAACUAUAACGGUCCUAAGGUAGCGAAAUUCCUUGUCGGGUAAG